GAGGGUAUAGCUCGGUGGUAGAGUGCAUGCCUAGCAUGCAUGAGGUCCUGGGUUCAAUUCCUAGUACUUCCA
rnacentral:tRNA from 1 species